rnacentral:misc_RNA from 1 species
GCAAACUUGGUCAUUUAGAGGAAGUAAAAGUCGUAACAAGGUUUCCGUAGGUGAACCUGCGGAAGGAUCAUUAUUGAAUAUGGGUUAUCAUCAGGUUUGGGCUGUCGCUGGCUUUUUGGGGGUUGGCGCCCUUAAAGCAUGUGCACGCUCUUUUCCCUGUCACCACAAGUGCCCUUUAGCAGUUCGUGGUUCUACAGCCACGUCCUGAAAAACUUUUUUUAUAAACAUCCUGUGAAAAAACAAAUAUUAUAAAGAAAUAUUGAAUGAAUUACAACUUUCAACAACGGAUCUCUUGGCUCUCGCAUCGAUGAAGAACGCAGC